rnacentral:rRNA from 1 species
AACGCUAGCUGCAGGCUUAACACAUGCAAGUCGAGGGGCAGCAUGGUCUUAGCUUGCUAAGGCCGAUGGCGACCGGCGCACGGGUGAGUAACACGUAUCCAACCUGCCGUCUACUCUUGGACAGCCUUCUGAAAGGAAGAUUAAUACAAGAUGGCAUCAUGAGUCCACAUGUUCACAUGAUUAAAGGUAUUCCGGUAGACGAUGGGAAUGCGUUCCAUUAGAUAGUAGGCGGGGUAACGGCCCACCUAGUCUUCGAUGGAUAGGGGUUCUGAGAGGAAGGUCCCCCACAUUGGAACUGAGACACGGUCCAAACUCCUACGGGAGGCAGCAGUGAGGAAUAUUGGUCAAUGGGCGAGAGCCUGAACCAGCCAAGUAGCGUGAAGGAUGACUGCCCUAUGGGUUGUAAACUUCUUUUAUAAAGGAAUAAAGUCGGGUAUGGAUACCCGUUUGCAUGUACUUUAUGAAUAAGGAUCGGCUAACUCCGUGCCAGCAGCCGCGGUAAUACGGAGGAUCCGAGCGUUAUCCGGAUUUAUUGGGUUUAAAGGGAGCGUAGAUGGAUGUUUAAGUCAGUUGUGAAAGUUUGCGGCUCAACCGUAAAAUUGCAGUUGAUACUGGAUAUCUUGAGUGCAGUUGAGGCAGGCGGAAUUCGUGGUGUAGCGGUGAAAUGCUUAGAUAUCACGAAGAACUCCGAUUGCGAAGGCAGCCUGCUAAGCUGCAACUGACAUUGAGGCUCGAAAGUGUGGGUAUCAAACAGGAUUAGAUACCCUGGUAGUCCACACGGUAAACGAUGAAUACUCGCUGUUUGCGAUAUACAGCAAGCGGCCAAGCGAAAGCGUUAAGUAUUCCACCUGGGGAGUACGCCGGCAACGGUGAAACUCAAAGGAAUUGACGGGGGCCCGCACAAGCGGAGGAACAUGUGGUUUAAUUCGAUGAUACGCGAGGAACCUUACCCGGGCUUAAAUUGCAGAUGAAUUACGGUGAAAGCCGUAAGCCGCAAGGCAUCUGUGAAGGUGCUGCAUGGUUGUCGUCAGCUCGUGCCGUGAGGUGUCGGCUUAAGUGCCAUAACGAGCGCAACCCUUGUUGUCAGUUACUAACAGGUUCCGCUGAGGACUCUGACAAGACUGCCAUCGUAAGAUGUGAGGAAGGUGGGGAUGACGUCAAAUCAGCACGGCCCUUACGUCCGGGGCUACACACGUGUUACAAUGGGGGGUACAGAGGGCCGCUACCACGCGAGUGGAUGCCAAUCCCAAAAACCUCUCUCAGUUCGGACUGGAGUCUGCAACCCGACUCCACGAAGCUGGAUUCGCUAGUAAUCGCGCAUCAGCCACGGCGCGGUGAAUACGUUCCCGGGCCUUGUACACACCGCCCGUCAAGCCAUGGGAGCCGGGGGUACCUGAAGUGCGUAACCGCGAGGAGCGCCCUAGGGUAAAACUGGUGACUGGGGCUAA